UACGAAGGGGGCUAGCGUUGUUCGGAGUUACUGGGCGUAAAGGGCGCGUAGGCGGCGCACCAAGUCAGGCGUGAAAGCCCUGGGCUCAACCCGGGAAUUGCGCUUGAGACUGGUGUGCUAGAGUACGGGAGAGGAUAGUGGAAUUCCCAGUGUAGAGGUGAAAUUCGUAGAUAUCAAGCGGAACACCGGUGGCGAAGGCGGCCUUCUGGACAGUGACUGACGCUGAGACGCGAAAGCGUGGGGAGCGAACAGG
rnacentral:rRNA from 1 species